AGUACGACCCACUGCUUAGUGUAUGCACGUGCUUCGGUGCGAGCAAUAUACAUUAAACUAUAGAGACCGCUGUUUCUUCUUUAAACCAGAGGAAGGAUACGGCAAUAACAGGUCUGUGAUGCCCUCAGAUGUUCCGGGCUGCACACGUGCUACAAUGAUCAUUGCACUGUGCAUCUAACCCAAUGUGCGUGGACGCCGCAUGCAUGUACUCCUUGUGGGUACACGCAUUGCUGAGCGACCACGCCGAACCUACUUCGAAAGUAAAAUUUCUCUGUGGGUAAUCCAUUAGAAGUAAUGACUCGCAUAGACCAUGGCACACCAAAUGUACGCGCAGGUCUACCCGGCUCGCCUUUGUGUGAGUGCAGUGCGUAGCUUGUUGUUUCGUACGUGCCACUCCGUAUUAAUUCGUACGUGGGGAUAGAUCAUUGUUUAAUUGUUGGUCUCGGUCUUAACUAGGAAUGCCUUGUACGGGUCUCUGGUUCAACAUACCACCCGGAAUACGUCCCUGCCCUUUGUACACACCGCCCGUCGCUCUUACCGAUGGAUUAUGCUAUGAAUCUAUAGGACUGCCAAAGUUGCCUCGGCUGCUUAGUGGAAAUAUAUAUGAAUAGCGGAUCUAAAGA
rnacentral:rRNA from 2 species